UUUUGAAGAUACCAAAAGUAUGAGACACUCGAAUGUAGACAAUUGACAAUUAAGCUCAAUCUAUCAAUCGUUGUCAACCCAUGCAAUAGCAACUACAUCCGAACCUCAGAGAUGUAACUGGGAAGUACUUUGAUGAAGAACUAUCAAGAAGGCUUUGAGAUUUAAGCGAGAAGAUGUUAAAGUCAAUGAGUAAAAAACAUUCAAGUCAAGAGGAUAAAUAACAUCUAUCAAGAUCCUUUAAAUUCAUGCAAUAAGAUGUAGUCACUAGGAGUAGUUUUAAGUAUCUCCUAAUUAAAAUUUCUCUGUAUGUGAGUAAUUAUGUUUGUUAUAGAAGUGUAAGGAUGAUAAUUUGUAUAUUUAUCUUGGUUUAUUUAAUAAUAUGUUAUUGAUUGAA